rnacentral:lncRNA from 1 species
GUGACGCUCAAGUAGAUCAGGAUCAAUGCGUUGCAGCUCUUCUCAAGUGAUCCAGGUAUCUUUAGACUCCGGUCGACCUCGCCAUCUGACCAGAUACCGCUGAUAGCCUCGACUCCGGGUGGAAAGGAUCUGCUCAUCCAAAAUUCUCUCAAUUUGAUCAUGUUUUGCUGAUAUUUUGGCUGGUGGACACUCAGAGAUAGGUUCGCUCUCAAAGGUUGGUUCAGGCUCAAAUGGCUCACUAGGUAUCCGAGUUGGUUUUUUAUAGGCGACAAGAUCUGUAACGUUAAAAGUAAAGCUAAUUCCAAAAUCAGAAGGUAGGUC